ensembl:Y_RNA Y_RNA Y RNA
GGCUGGUCCGAUGGUAGUGGGUUAUCAGAACUUAUUAACGUUAGUGUCACUAAAGUUGGUAUACAACCCCCCACUGCUAAAUUUGACUGGCUUUUU